AAAUGAAUAGACGGGGACCCGCACAAGCAGCGGAGCAUGUGGUUUAAUUCGAAGCAACGCGAAGAACCUUACCAGGGCUUGACAUCCCUCUGACCGGCCGGUAAUGCGGCCCUCCCUUCGGGGCAGAGGUGACAGGUGGUGCAUGGUUGUCGUCAGCUCGUGUCGUGAGAUGUUGGGUUAAGUCCCGCAACGAGCGCAACCCUUGUCAUUAGUUGCCAUCAUUAAGUUGGGCACUCUAGUGAGACUGCCGGGGACAACUCGGAGGAAGGUGGGGAUGACGUCAAAUCAUCAUGCCCCUUAUGUUCUGGGCUACACACGUGCUACAAUGGCCGGUACAGAGAGACGCAAUGUCGCGAGGCGGAGCAAAACUCUAAAACCGGUCUCAGUUCGGAUUGCAGGCUGCAACUCGCCUGCAUGAAGUCGGAGUUGCUAGUAAUCGCGAAUCAGAACGUCGCGGUGAAUGCGUUCCCGGGUCUUGUACACACCGCCCGU
rnacentral:rRNA from 1 species